GAUGAAGAACGUAGUGAAAUGCGAUAAGUAAUGUGAAUUGCAGAAUUCAGUGAAUCAUCGAAUCUUUGAACGCACAUUGCGCCCCCUGGUAUUCCGGGGGGCAUGCCUGUUCGAGCGUCAUUACAACCCUCAAGCUCUGCUUGGUAUUGGGCCCCGCCAGUUCUGGCGGGCCCUAAAGUCAGUGGCGGUGCCUUCCGGCUCCGAGCGUAGUAAUUCUUCUCGCUCUGGAGACCCGGUUGUGUGCUUGCCAACAACCCCCAAUUUUUUAAGGUUGACCUCGGAUCAGGUAGGGAUACCCGCUGAACUUAAGCAUAUCAAUAAGCGGAGGA
rnacentral:misc_RNA from 1 species